UAUAUGCAUUCUUUUAGAUUUUUUUUUAUCAAAGGGGUGCAUUUUUAAAAGAGAAAUUCUCUAGGAUAUACCUUUUUUUUUGUCACAAAUAUAGACCUUAAAAAUAAAAAUGACCAAAAUAGACUUAGAUGUUUUAUUAAAAGAAGUAAAUAUACACUUAUACCCCUAGGAUUAAUUAAUCUAGACAUUAGAGUUUAGAGUUAAGGGGGGGGAGUUUAAGGUUAAGGGUUUAAGGUGUAAGGUUUAAAAUUUAGGAUUUAGAGUUUAGAGUUGAGGAGUGGGGGGUUUUAGGGAUAGGAUUUAAAUUUUUUAAAAUUGAACAUUUUCAAAAUAGAAAAUGCUAUUUUGGUCAUUUUAGUUUUUGAGCUCUAUUUUUGUGACAAAAAACAUAAAAUGGUAUAUUUGAGAGAAUUGCCAUUUUUAAAAUAUAUGUUCUAAAAACAACUAGUUUAGGAAAGUCAUCAUUUUGUAGAGAAAUAUUGUAAAUUUGAAAUUUUAAUUUAUAAAUUAGGAUAACAAGAGUUUUUAUUGAUAGGUGAACAUUCUUUUAGAAUUUUUGAUCAAUAGGUUGUAUCUUUUAAAUAAGUUUUCUUAAAAACUGCUCUUUUAGGAAAGUUAUCAUUUUCGUAGAGAAAUAUUGUAGAUUUGGGAUUGUAAUUUAGAAAUCAGGAUAACAUGAGUUUUUAUUGAUAGAUAGACAUUCUUUUAGAAUUUUUCAUCGAUAGGUUUUGUUUUUAAUUUUUUUUUCUAAAAACUGAUAUUUUGGGAAAGUUAUCAAUUUUGUAGACAAAUAUUGUAGAUUUGAUAUUCUGAUUUAGAAAUUAGGAUAACAAGAGGUUUUGUUGAUAGACGGAACUUCUUUUAAAAUUUUUUAUCAACAUGAUGCAUUUUCAAAAUAAAUUUUCUAAAACUGCUAUUUUAGGAAAAUUAUCAUUUUUGUUGAGAAAUGUUGUAGAUUUAGGAUUCUGAUUUAGAAUUUAGGAAAACAAAAGUUUUUGUUGAUGUAUGGGCAUUUGUUUAUAAUUUUAAAUCAACGAGAUGCAUUUUUAAAAUAAAUUUUAUAAAAACAACUAUUUUAGGAAAGUCAUCAUUUUGUAGAGAAAUAUUGUAAAUUUGAGAUUUUAAUUUAUAAAUUAGGAUAACAAGAGUUUUUAUUCAUAGAUGGACAUUCUAUUAGAACUUUUGAUUAAUAGAUUGCAUCUUUUAAAUAAGUUUUCUUAAAAACAACUAUUUUCGGAAAGUUAUCAUUUUUGUAGAGAAAUAUUGUAGAUUUGGGAUUGUAAUUUAGAAAUCAGGAUAACAUGUUUUUUUAUUGAUAGAUGGACUUUUUUUUAAAAAUUUUGAUCAAUAAGUUCUGUUUUUAAAUAAAUUUUCUAAAAACUGCAAUUUUGGAAAAGUUUUCAUUUUCGUAGACAAAUAUUAUAGAUUUGGUAUUCUGAAAUAGAAAUUAGGAUAACAAGAGGUUUUGUUGAUUGACGGAAGUUUUUUUAAAUGUUUUUAACAACAUAAUGCAUUUUCAAAGUAAAUUUUCUAAAACUGCUAUUUUAGGAAAGUUAUCAUUUUUGUUGAGAAAUAUUGUAGAUUUAGGUUUCUCAUUUAAAAUUUAGGAAAUCAAAAGUAUUUGUUGAUAUAUGGGCAUUCUUUUAAAAUUUUUAAUCAACGAGAUGCAUUUUUAAAAUAAAUUUUAUAAAAACUGCUAUUUUGAGAAAAUUAUCAUUUUGUAGAGAAAUACUGUAAAUUUGGGAUUGUAAUUUAUAAAUUAUGAUAAAAGAGUUUUUAUUGAUAGAUGAACAUUCUUUUAGAAUUUUUGAUCAAUAAGUACUGUUUUUAAAUAAAUUUUCUAAAAACUGCUAUUUUGUGAAAGUUAUCAUUUUUGUAGACAAAUAUUAUAGAUUUGGUAUUCUGAUAUAUAAAUUAGGAUAACAAAAGGUUUUGUUGAUUGACGGAAGUUCUUUUAGAAUUAUUUUAUCAACAUGAUGCAUUUUCAAAAUAAAUUUUCUAAAAUUGCUAUUUUAGGAAAAUUAUCAUUUUUGUUAAGAAAUAUUGUAUAUUUAAGAUUCUGAUUUAGAAUUUAGGAAAACAAAAGUUUUUGUUGAUAUAUGGGCAUUCUUUUUGAAUUUUAAAUCAACGAGAUGCAUUUUAAAAAUAAAUUUUAUAAAAACAACUAUUUUAGGAAAGUAAUAAUUUUGUAGAGAAAUAUUGUAGAUUUGGGAUUGCAAUUUAUAAAUUAGGAUAAGAAGACUUUUUAUUGAUAUAUAGACAUUCUUUUAGAAUUUUUGGUUAAUAGGUUGCUUCUUUUAAAUAAGUUUUUUAAAAACUGCUAUUAUAGGAAAGUUAUCAUUUUUGUUGAGAAAUAUUGUAGCUUUGGGAUUAUGAUUUAGAAAUCAGGAUAACAUGAAAUUUAUUGAUAGCUGAACAUUCUUUUAGAAUUUUUGAUCAAUAGGUUCUGUUUUUAAAUAAAUCUUCUAAGAACUGUUAUUUUGGGAAAGUUAUCAUUUUUGUAGAUAUAUAUUAUAGAUUUGGUAUUCUGAUUUAGAAAUUAGGAGAACAAGAGGUUUUGUUGAUUGAUGGAAGUUCUUUUAGAAUUUUUUAUCAACAUAAUGCAUUUUCAAAAUAAAUUUUCUAAAACUGCUAUUUUAGGAAAGUUAUCAUUUUUGUAGAGAAAUAUUGUAGAUUUAGGAUUCUCAUUAGGAAUUUUGGAAAUCAAAAGUUUUUUUUUUUGAUAUAUGGCCAUUCUUUUAGAAUUGUUAAUCAACAUGAUGCAUUUUUAAAUUAAAUUUUAUAAAAACAACUAUCUUAGGAGAGUCAUCAUUUUGUAGACAGAUAUUGUAAAUUUGGGAUUGUAAUUUAUAAAUUAGGAUAACAAGAGGUUUUGUUGAUUGACGGAAGUUAUUUUAGAAUUUUUGAUCAAUAGGUUCUGUUUUUAAAUAAAUCUUCUAAAAACUGUUAUUUGGGAAAGUUAUCAUUUUUGUAGAUAUAUAUUAUAGAUUUGGUAUUCUGAUUUAGAAAUUAGGAUAACAUGAGGUUUUGUUGAUUGAUGGAAGUUCUUUUAGAAUUUUUUAUCAACAUAAUGCAUUUUCAAAAUAAAUUUUCUAAAACUGCUAUUUUAGGAAAGUUAUCAUUUUUGUUAAGAAAUAUUGUAGAUUUAGGAUUCUCAUUAGGAAUUUUGGAAAUCAAAUGUUUUUGUUGACAUAUGGGCAUUCUUUUAGAAUUUUUAAUCAACGAGAUGCAUUUUUAAAAUAAUUUUUUAUAAAAGCAACUAUUUUAGAAAAUGCAUUAUUUUGUAGAGAAAUAUUGUAAAUUUGGGACUGUAAUUUAUAAAUUAGGAUAACAAGAGUUUUAUUGAUAGAUGGACAUUCUUUAAAAAAAAAUUAUGAGUAAGUUCUGUUUUUAAAUAAAUUUUAUAAAAACUGCUAUUUUGGGAAAGUUAUCAUUUUUGUAGACAAUUAUUAUAGAUUUGGUAUUUUGAUAUAGAAAUUAGGAUAACAAGAGGUUUUGUUGAUUAACGGAAGUUCUUUUAGAAUUUUUUGAUCAAUAGGUUCUGUUUUUAAAUACAUUUUCUAACAACUGCUAUUUUGGAAAAAUUAUCAUUUUUAUAGACAAAUAUUAUAGAUUUGGUAUUCUGAUUUAGAAAUUAGGAUAACAAGGGGUUUUGUUGAUUGAUGGAAGUUCUUUUAGAAUUUUUUAUCAACAUGAUGCAUUUUCAAAAUAAAUUUUCUAAAACUGAUAUUUUAGAAAAGUUAUCAUUUUUGUAGAGAAAUAUUGUAGAUUUAGGAUUCUCAUUUAGAAUUUAGGAAAACAAAAGUUUUUGUCGAUAUAUGGGCAUUCUUUUAGAAUUUUUAAUCUACGGGAUGCAUUUUUUAAAUAAAUUUUAGAAAAACAACUAUUUUAGGAAAUUCAUCAUUUUGUAGACAGAUAUUGUAGAUUUAUGAUUGUAAUUUAUAAAUUAGGAUAACAUGAGUUUUUAUUGAUAGAUGGAUAUUCUUUUAGAACUUUUGAUCAAUAUGUUCUGUUUUUAAAUAAAUUUUCUAAAAACCGAUAUUUUGGGAAAGUUAUCAUUUUUGUAGACAAAUUUUAUAGAUUUGGUAUUCUUAUUUAGAAAUUAAGAUAACAAGAGGUUUUGUUGAUUGAUGGAAGUUCUUUUAGAUUUUUUACUUAUAUAAUAUGAUUUCACAAAAGCAAUCACAAUUUUAGUGUUGACUUUUAAGAGAUAUUAAAAAUAGAACCUAAAACUAUUUUUUUAUGAUAAGCAUAUUUUGAUCAAAUAAUUAAAAAAUCUUUUUAAAUAGCAUAUACUUUUAAUGAGGUGUAUCUAUUAUAUUUUAGCAUUACUAAAAAUUAUUUUUCUUAAUAUUUAUUUUCUUUUUAAUUUUAUAUUUUCUUUAUGUUUGUGGAAAUUAAUAUACCCAUAAUCAAAAUACCCAAGCAAAUCUGAAUUCUCAUUUUAAAGAUUAUUUAAAAUAAUUUUCAGUUUACCUUUCAAUAAUUGUUACAAUAUAUUUUUAUAUAUACGCAUGAGACUUCAUAAUAUUAUCGUUAUAUUCAUCUAUGAAAUUUUCAAUCAUAUACUUCAGUUUAUUUUUAUUUAAUUCUAAGCACAAUAUAUAUUACGAGUUAUACAUAUAUAAUCGUACUAAAAUAUAUUUACAUAUUUAGGAAAAUAAUCAAUCUAAAUACAAAUAAGAAUUUAAUCAAAAUUAACUAUAUUUAUAAUAAAAUAAUAUAGUUGAAUUCAGAUAAACAGAUGUAGUCCAAUAUACCCAAGUGAUAAACAAAUCAAUUAUUGAUCCAAAAACAUCCAAACCGACUAUAUAUAACAUAUCUAAAAUCAUAUGUCUAACUAAAAUAAUAUAAUAUUAUUAAUAUAAAUUAUAGAUAUAAAUUAUAAAUUGAUUUAAAACCAAAAUUAAAUAUCAAGUAAUUAUAAUAUAUUAAUUUUAUAAAGAUUUAUAUCGAUAUAUGAGCACGGAAGAACCACCUACUAUAUUCUUAAGCAAGGAGCGACAUUGUCAAAGAAAAAAAAUAUUUUUGGCAAAAAAUGUAUUUAUAAACAGAUAUAGACAUUAGCGCACAAAAAAACAAUUUCUUUUAUCUAAUAUUUUAAAAGCAUUAUAAUGAUUAUUCUAUGUGUUUAUUUUUAGUUGUUGUUUUAAGUAUAUGCACACAGAUUAAAAAAAUAUUUGAUUUUACAUAUUUUCAAAAAGAAAAACAUUAUUAUCUAUACACAUAAUUAUAUUUCAACUAAUAUAAAAAUAACUGAAAAAUAUUGUUAAUUAUUUUUGCAUUGAAAUUCUAAAAAACAUUUAUUUCAAAACGAAGAUUUUUCUUUACAAUGAUAAUUAAAGUAUAAUUUUUGCUUAGUCGAAACCACAAGGUUAACUUCUUGAAUUUAAAGACGAUAACAAACGGAUAACCAUUAAACGUUUAAGAAGAUUCAUUGAACUAAAACAGUUUCCCGGAUUAGUUAGUAACAAGAGGAUCUACUUUGCUAUCUGGUCCAUCGUAAAUCACGCACUCCCACGAUCAUGAACCGUACAAACUUCUAGACUUUGUCAACCUCGAUGUUUCAAUUUCCCAUAAACUACGGUCGACCUUUUUGAAUACAACUCUCACGUGCACAUGAAAUCGAAGUUUACGGCGCACAUUCUUCUAGAAACAAAUCAAAUACGCACAAGUCAGAGAUAUAGCUCUUGAUAGAAUUAAAAGUACACUAACGCGAGGAAAAUAUAAAAUAUUUUUUUUUACCAAAAAAAAACGGUUUAUAUAUAAAAUAAUAUUUUUACCAAAAAAAAUAUAUAAAAUAAUAUUGGAGAAAAGAGACGGUAUCGCAUUGGGCAGGAGUGUUUUUUUUUUGUUACGCGUGACAAGCGAGUCAGGGACCGAGUACACCGGCCACGGUCACCGUCAAAUGAUACCUAACAAGUGGGUUCCAUAGUCAUGUUGAGUGUUGGUUUAUAUCACGACCGUCCAUUGAGUUUCUUUUGUUGACCGAUCAUCUUGCAUUAUGGUAGUGUGAACGAGAAACUAGAUUUUAUUAAUAUCACGCGUUUGAGAAGUGAAAUGAAAUUGAAAUAUCUUUGAAAAUUUUACAUGUAAGAACAUCUGUAAAUUUAACAAUAUAAUAAAUUAAGAAGAAAAAAUUCACAUUUAAAAAUAUGUAUACUUUUCAUACAUAAAUAUACUUUUUAUUAAAAUGAUCAAGUAAAGUAAAAAGAUUGGAUAU